GCAUAUCAAUAAGCGGAGGAAAAGAAACUAACAAGGAUUCCCCUAGUAACGGCGAGUGAACCGGGAAGAGCUCAAAUUUGAAAUCUGGCGUCCUCAGGGCGUCCGAGUUGUAAUCUAUAGAGGCGUUUUCCGUGCCGGACCGUGUCCAAGUUCCUUGGAACAGGAUAUCAAAGAGGGUGACAAUCCCGUACUUGACACGACGACCGGUGCUCUGUGAUACGUCUUCUACGAGUCGAGUUGUUUGGGAAUGCAGCUCAAAAUGGGUGGUGAGUUCCAUCUAAAGCUAAAUAUUGGCGAGAGACCGAUAGCGAACAAGUACCGUGAGGGAAAGAUGAAAAGCACUUUGGAAAGAGAGUUAAACAGUACGUGAAAUUGUUGAAAGGGAAACGAUUGAAGUCAGUCGUGACCGAGAGGCUCAGCCGGUUCUGCCGGUGUAUUCCCCUCGGUCGGGUCAACAUCAGUUUUGUCCGGUGGAUAAGGGCGGUAGGAAGGUGGCACCCUCGGGUGUGUUAUAGCCUGCCGUCGCAUACAUCGGGUGAGACUGAGGAACGCAGCUCGCCUUUAUGGCCGGGGUUCGCCCACGUCCGAGCUUAGGAUGUUGACAUAAUGGCUUUAAACGA
rnacentral:rRNA from 1 species